UGAGAACCCAUAAGAGGUCCAGCCUGCCCAGUGACACUGUUCAACGGCCGCGGUAUCCUAACCGUGCGAAGGUAGCGUAAUCACUUGUCCUUUAAAUGGGGACUAGUAUGAACGGCACCACGAGGGUUAUACUGUCUCCUUUUUCCAAUCAGUGAAACUAAUCUUCCCGUGAAGAAGCGGGAAUACGUCUAUAAGACGAGAAGACCCUAUGGAGCUUUAAACGAAACAACAUUUGCUAUCGAAUACUCUGAUCUCAGGAAAUUAACCCUCAUUUUUAGCUCUAUGAUUGCCAGUUUUAGGUUGGGGUGACCGCGGAGUAAAAAAUAACCUCCACAAUGAAUGUGGGGCCUCCCCUAAGCAACAAGCCACAACUUUAUGCAUCAAUAGCUUGACAUCAAUUGACCCAAUAUUUUGAUCAACGAAACAAGUUACCCUAGGGAUAACAGCGCAAUCCACUUCAAGAGCCCGUAUCGACAAGUGGGUUUACGACCUCGAUGUUGGAUCAGGGUACCCCCGUGGUGCAGCCGCUACUAAAGGUUCGUUUGUUC
rnacentral:rRNA from 1 species